rnacentral:rRNA from 1 species
UACGGAGGGUGCAAGCGUUAUCCGGAUUCACUGGGUUUAAAGGGUGCGUAGGUGGGCAGGUAAGUCAGUGGUGAAAUCUCCGGGCUUAACUCGGAAACUGCCAUUGAUACUAUCUUUCUUGAAUACCGUGGAGGUCAGCGGAAUAUGUCAUGUAGCGGUGAAAUGCUUAGAUAUGACAUAGAACACCGAUUGCGAAGGCAGCUGACGAAACUGUAACUGACACUGAGGCUCGAAAGUGUGGGGAUCAAACAGG